rfam:Picea glauca, whole genome shotgun sequence.
GAAUGUACAUGCAUACAUAUUUAAUGCACCAGAUCCUAUUAAAAAUUCGUAGUUAAGAGUUCUUUGGUUGAUUAGUACUAAGAUGGGUGACCUCCCAAGAAAUCCUAUAAUUUUACAUGCC